rnacentral:rRNA from 1 species
CCCAAAUGCUUAAAUACUCGAAAGGUGCUGGAUCCCAUCUGACAUCAGAAGCUAAGUAGAGUCAACUCUGGUCAGUAAAGGAGUGAAAGAUCACCAAUAAAUACCAGAUGCUAUAGGCU